CCUACGGGGUGCUGCAGUGGGGAAUAUUGGGCAAUGGGCGCAAGCCUGACCCAGCAACGCCGCGUGAAGGAAGAAGGCUUUCGGGUUGUAAACUUCUUUUCUCAGGGACGAAGAAAGUGACGGUACCUUAGGAAUAAGCCACGGCUAACUACGUGCCAGCAGCCCCGGUAAUACGUAGGUGGCAAUCGUUAUCCGGACUUACUGGGUGUAAAGGGCGUGUAGGCGGGACUGCAAGUCAGAUGUGAAAACCACGGGCUCAACCUGUGGCCUGCAUUUGAAACUGUAGUUCGUGAGUACUGGAGAGGCAGACGGAAUUCCGAGUGUAGCGGUGAAAUGCGUAGAUAGUAGGAGGAACACCAGUGGCGAAGGCGGUCUGAUGGACAGCAACUGACGCUGAGGCGCGAAAGCGUGGGGAGCAAACAGGAUUAGAUACCCCAGUAGUC
rnacentral:rRNA from 1 species